GGGUAAGUCCCAUACGACUAGCUCCUGUUGAACUCCCCCAGGGCCUGGCGGCAGCAAGGGUAGACGGUUGUAGCAGUGCGAUAUGGGUAGCUUACCCACC
rnacentral:SRP_RNA from 1 species